UUCUACAGUCUAGUGCCAGAUCCCACUAGCUGCAGAAACUAUUACUACUGCUUUUUAGGAUUUGCUAUUAGAGAUGAAUGCCAAAAUGGAUAUGAAUUUGACCCUACACUUCUGGCUUGUAUUCCAAAAUCCGAAUCGACGUGUAAACCAACAGAAAGUAAAAGUCAAGGAUGGUCGGGUUGGUUUUGGUGAUAUGAGAUAUUUCGUACCUCAUAUGCAACCUAGUUUAAGCUAUUUGUAAUUAGAGAAGAAAUAAAAAGAAGAGAAAGAUUCCACUAGUAAAAUAUUAUGAGAUUUGACAAAUAUGAAAACAUUAAGUGUGGAUUGCACUGUACUUAGGUACAAGUUAAUACCAAUUAAUAUCACACAGGGCAGACAUUAAUAUCACGCAGGGCGGUGCAAGAAUAAAAUGGAUGCAUUAAUAACCACAUGAAUAAGGCGCCACACACGGUUGUUGCACAACUGACGAUAAAUGCGUCAAAAUGGCGACAAUAAUUGUCCAAAUUAUUCUCAAGAUAAUACAAACGUUGAUUUGAAUAGUAUAAUCAUUGAUAAUAAUCUCAUAUUUUUAUAAUUAAAUUAAUUAAAUGUUUUGUAUUCGCGUCAG